GCAAAAAUAGCUCAAUGGUAGAGUCUAACCUUGCCAAGGUUAAUGUUGGGGGUUCGAAUCCCCUUUUUUGCU
rnacentral:tRNA from 1 species